GCUAGAGCAGAGAACCAGAAGGUCCAGCCCGGCCGAUCAUGAGCUCUGUGAGCCCAGGUCGUGGCGUCUUCCAGCACCUCCAGCCUUGCUCAGAGCCAGCCCGGUGUCGGUGCAUCACAAAUAUGCUGACCGCUGGGCCUGGGGCUUAGGCUCAAGGUGCACACCUGAGGUCUGCUGGUGCCCAUCAGAGGCAAGAGCAGUCGUGACCCCGGAGAAGCUUCUCCGGACAGCUUGUCCUCGCUGUUGGGGCACGGCCUUCACCCUGGGUUCCAGCUUUUGCUUCCAGGGUCAUCUUCCGAGUGUGGCUCUCUGGUGUGAAGCACCCACGUGUACUUUUUAGAAAGGUGCUGGCAUCUCCCUUAGAGGCUGGAACUUGGACUUGCUGGCCCUGAGUGUGAGGAACAGUGGAGCAUGCAGGUCUGGGGCGGGCGGCCACAUCUGACAAUGGUCCAGUGAAAGAUGGACGUGUCCAGUGCCAGCUCCACGCUCCACCUGGUUCCCUCCUGAACCUGCUACACGUGCUUAGCCUCCACCCGCCCCAGCUCCUGCCACGCACGUGGCUGAGGGCAAGAGGAAGAAGUCCUCUUCUCUCCCCAACUUUUUAUUUUUUAUUUUUUUUCAAGACGGAGUCUCACUCUGUUGCCCAGGCUGGAGUGCAGUGGUGCGAUCUGAGCUCACAGCAACCUCCACCUUCCAGGUUCAAGUGAUUCUCCUGCCUCAGCCUCCCGAGUAGCUGGGACCACAGGCACACGCCACCACGCGCGGCUAAUUUUUUGUAUUUUUAGCAGAGACAGGGUUUCACCAUGUUGGUCAGGCUGGUCUCGAACUCCUGACCUCAGGUGAUCCACCCGCCUCGGCCUCCCAAAGUGCUGGGAUUACAGGCGUGAGCCACCGUGCCCAGCCCCCACCUUUUUAUUUAGAAAAUCUUCAACACCACAGGAAACUGCAUAGAUCAGAAUGAACAACACCUUCUCCCCGAAAUUACAACCAUUUGCCAAAAAUACCAAAAUUGUGACCAUUUUGCUACAUUGCCCCCCUCCAACUGAGGCAUCUGAGAGUUUCUUAUAAACAUCAUGGCACUGGAGCCCUAAACUCGCCCACAGACACCUGAGAGCACAGCCGUCUUCCUCAGUCCCCCCCGGGCAGGGUGCGCUGCCGUCCUCCCAGUCCGCCCCCACCGGGCAGGGUGCGCUGCCG
rnacentral:lncRNA from 10 species